UGGUGGCGGAGCUAACGAGCGUGCAGAGGCUCUUCUGAACGAGACUUCUCUGCUCCUGUCUUCACUUGAUCUUUGUGCACAAUAGAAAAAGCCUCAGCUUUGGAGUCAGCUUCCCAGUGAAGAGCAAGAGUUGAGUUUAGCAACUGUUUGGACCGGCCAAGUAACAGGGCAGUCCAAGUGCAUGGUGUGGUAUUGGGACACUGUCUUCUCUCUGACCUGUCGGGAGUAUCUCUGUGGCUCAACGUGCUGGCCCACUGGAGGCCCUGGACUGGUUAAAACCUGAAGGUUUUAGAAACCUCUGAUCUUCUCCACACCCUUCAAAUGGGCAAUGACUGACCAAGAUUACCGAUGAGAGACUGUGGGGGCUGGAAUCUAUACCCAGGUCCUGGGAGCCCCUUGCACUGUCCCUCCUAGUCACCCUCCUGCUUGGACCCUGGGAGCAUGACAAAGAGUCAGAUAAGAAAACCAAGGCUGAAGAUCACACCAUCAGUAAAGAAAUCAAAUGUUAUAUACUGGCCCUAAAGUUGGGAUAAAGGAGCUAGAAGAAAGUAUAAUUUAUAUUAAAUUUUAAGGUCUCCAAAAGCAAAUCAAUAAGCCAUACUCUAGUAACAUUAAGAUUUUUCACAAGUGCUAGCUUAAUUCAUAAACAAUUACCAUUUUCGGAGGUCAAAAGUAAUCAAAUAUCAUGAUUAUAUACGGCUUGACCUAAUACAUAUCAUUAAUAAGUUCUACUAAUCCAGAG